GAUGAAGAACGCAGCGAAAUGCGAUAAGUAGUGUGAAUUGCAGAAUUCAGUGAAUCAUCGAAUCUUUGAACGCACAUUGCGCCCCUCGGUAUUCCGAGGGGCAUGCCUGUUCGAGCGUCAUUUCAACCCUCAAGCACAGCUUGGUCUUGGGCUUCGCCGCUAACCCGGCGGGUCUUAAAAUCAGUGGCGGUGCCGUCGGGCCCUGAGCGCAGUAAUCUCUCUCGCUAUAGGGUCCCGGCGGAUGCUGGCCAGUAACCCCCAAUUUUCUAUGGUUGACCUCGGAUCAGGUAGGGAUACCCGCUGAACUUAAGCAUAUCAAUAAGCGGAGGA
rnacentral:misc_RNA from 1 species